ensembl:lncRNA
AGGGCGUGACAUGACUGUUCCUCAUUCAGUCCUGUAUGAACAGCAGGGCGUGACAUGACUGUUCCUCAUUCAGUCCUUAUGAACACACCCACACCCACACACAAACACACACACUCACACACACUCACACACACACACACUCACACACCGACACACACACACACGCAUACACACACACUCACACACACACACGCUCACACACCCACACGCACACACACCCACACACAAACACACACACUCACACACACACACGCUCACACACCGACACACACACACACACGCAUACACACACUCACACACACUCACACAUACAGUGCCCUCCACAAUUAUUGGCACCCCCAGUGAAUAUGAGCAAAACAGGCUAUGAAAAAAUAUGUCUUUGCUGUUUAUCCUCUUGGUCUUUCACUCAAAAUAUUCACAAAAAUCUUACCAUUUCAUUGAAGUAAAAUUAUUGAAAUAAAAAAAAACUGUUGACAUUAAAUUAAUAUUUUUCCCCAAAACAUGUGUGCCACAAUUAUUGGUUAAGACAGCAGAUAGGCAUAUUAUGGUGAGAGGUAAAGGGUGUGUGUGUGUGUGUGUGUGUGUGUGUGUGUGUGUGUGUGUGUGUGUGUGUGUGUGUGUGUGUGUGUGAAGAGGUGGUCAGGGGUAAAGGGUGUGUGUGUGUGUGUGUGUGUGUGUGUGUGUGUGAAAAGGUGGUCAGAGGUAAAGGGUGUGUGUGUGUGUGUGUGUGUGUGUGUGUGAAGAGAAGAGGUGGUGAGAGGUAAAGGGUGUGUGUGUGUGUGUGUGUGUGUGUGUGUGUGGGAAGAGGUGGUCAGGGGUAAAGGGUGUGUGUGUGUGUGUGUGUGUGUGUGUGUGAAGAGAAGAGGUGGUGAGAGGUAAAGGGUGUGUGUGUGUGUGUGUGUGUGUGUGUGUGUGUGAAGAGGUGGUCAGAGGUAAAGGGUGUGUGUGUGUGUGUGUGUGUGUGUGUGUGUGUGUGUGUGUGUGUGUGUGUGUGUGAAGAGGUGGUCAGAGGUAAAGGGUGUGUGUGUGUGUGUGUGUGUGUGUGUGUGUGUGUGUGUGUGUGUGUGUGUGUGUGUGUGUGUGUGUGUGUGUGAAGAGGUGGUCAGAGGUAAAGGGUGUGUGUGUGUGUGUGUGUGUGUGUGUGUGUGUGUGUGUGUGUGUGUGUGUGUGUGUGUGUGUGUGUGUGUGUGUGUGUG